GAUGAACGCUGGCGGCGUGCCUAAUACAUGCAAGUCGAGCGAACGGACGAGAAGCUUGCUUCUCUGAUGUUAGCGGCGGACGGGUGAGUAACACGUGGAUAACCUACCUAUAAGACUGGGAUAACUUCGGGAAACCGGAGCUAAUACCGGAUGAUAUUUUGAACCGCAUGGUUCAAAAGUUAAAGACGUUCUUGCUGUCACUUAUAGAUGGAUCCGCGCUGCAUUAGCUAGUUGGUAAGGUAACGGCUUACCAAGGCAACGAUGCAUAGCCGACCUGAGAGGGUGAUCGGCCACACUGGAAGUGAGACACGGUCCAGACUCCUACGGGAGGCAGCAGUAGGGAAUCUUCCGCAAUGGGCGAAAGCCUGACGGAGCAACGCCGCGUGAGUGAUGAAGGUCUUCGGAUCGUAAAACUCUGUUAUUAGGGAAGAACAUAUGUGUAAGUAACUGUGCACAUCUUGACGGUACCUAAUCAGAAAGCCACGGCUAACUACGUG
rnacentral:rRNA from 1 species